rnacentral:lncRNA from 1 species
GAGAAGACAACAACGAAGGAUAAUGGUGAGGCCAAUGCGACGAAGACUAAAAUCUAUGGAGUACCCUUGAGAUAGGAAAUAUCCAAAACCCUACCCUAAUGCCUACGAAAGCACUAAGGGUUUGCAAGAGCAAGAGCAACACAACGAGAGUGACCUCUGCAAGAACGAAAGCGAUCACCACCGAGUGAGAGAUGACAAAAGCAACAACCAAGUGCAGUGAGAGAGAAGACGAGAGCCACGAAUGAGAGUAAAGAGUAGUGUGAGGGAGGAGAAUACUCUGAGCCGAACAAUCAAGUGCAAUGCAAAGGAGAGAAGGGGGAAGAUGAAAAUUAAAGGUUCUAUGUCGUUUAUAGUAAAAAAUUGGCAUAAUAUCUAUUUUUUAAAUUAAAAAUAAUAUUCGCACUCACUUUCUAUGCCGAUUCUAGACAUAAUCGACAUAUAAAAUCUUAUAUUUUGUUAUGAAAUUGUC